AAUUUUUUAACAGCGAUAUUAGAAUUUUUUCCCUUAUAUAUUUGCAUAACAAAUUUCAACUAAUUUUUAUAUCUUUGUUUCCUUAACGCUCCAACAAAAAAAAACUGCCGUCAAUAGACACAAAAAAAAAAAUUCACUAAUAACUAAAAACACCACCUCUCUUCUACUUUCUCUUCCUAUCUCUCUCUACUCUAUCUUUAAAAAUCUAAUUUCACUUUUUUUGGCUAUUUAACAAAUAAGCCCUUGAUAAAAUUA
rnacentral:lncRNA from 1 species